GACGAACGCUGGCGGCGUGCCUAAUACAUGCAAGUCGAACGCAUUGAGAGAAGUGCUUGCACUUUUCAAUUUGAGUGGCGAACGGGUGAGUAACACGUGGGCAACCUACCUGAUAGCGGGGGAUAACGAGUGGAAACAUUCGCUAAUACCGCAUAACAAUAGAGAAGGCAUCUUCUUUAUUUAAAAGGCGCUUUCAAGCGUCACUAUCAGAUGGGCCCGCGGUGCAUUAGUUAGUUGGUGGGGUGAAGGCCUACCAAGACGAUGAUGCAUAGCCGAGUGGAGAGCAUGAUCGGCCGCAUUGGGACUGAGACACGGCCCAAACUCCUACGGGAGGCGGCAGUAGGGAAUCUUCCACAAUGGACGAAAGUCUGAUGGAGCAACGCCGCGUGUGUGAUGAAGGCUUUCGGGUCGUAAAGCACUGUUGUAUGGGAAGAAAUGCUAGGCUAGGAAAUGAGCUUAGUUUGACGGUACCAUACCAGAAAGGGACGGCUAAAUACGUGCCAGCCGCCGCCGUAA
rnacentral:rRNA from 1 species